AACACACACACACACACACACACACACACACACACACACACACACACACACACACACACACACACACACACACACACACACACACACACACACACACACACACACACACAGCACAGGUCAAUAUGUGUGCUUAGCCCCAGCGAAGCUUAACUUUAUUAGAUGCAGUACUCCCCCGUUGAAUAGAAAAUACAUUAGACCUGCAUUGAUCAUCAUCCACAGCUCAAGCCCAGGUUCCUUCAACAUGGUCACAGCAUUGUUAAUGAUGUUCUAUACAGCAGCCAUUUGACAUUUCCUUUAAUUAUGCUUGUAAUUUAUUCAUGCUCUUGAUCCUAGAUGCUUGUUGUGAAAAGCUUCCUCAAGGAAUAUAUUAUCCUGCUCCUCCUGAGGCUCAUGGAUUACCCGUCUUAGCAGCAAACCCCUAAAGGAGAUUCUGCAGGCUGCAGGAGCACGCUUUGAAGAUGAGGAAGAGGAGGUGAAAAGACAGACAUGCACACAAACGCACAGAAAGAAAAAAAGAAUGAAAACGUGUUCUCACCUACAAGGCUGAGUCUUCUAAGUUUGACUUCAACAUAUCACACAGCUACUCAUGGGGGUUAAUUCUCUUUUCCUCCCUCAUAUCAGAGACUAAUGGGCCGACAUUCGUUUUAUUGCACGCUGCAGCUUCGUGGCUGCGGAAGAUCAAGAACUUACUCUCCACUGAUGCUGAUUAGGAAGCCAUGCUCAGGGCUGCUGAAGGGAAAGAUCCACUUUGAGAUAAAUCCUCUUUUUUUGUCAAUAAGAAACUUACUUGGCUGCAGAAGCGGGCUGCAAAUAGAGCCAUCUUGUGAGGUGUGACCUGGGGGGAAUCCAGUACAUUCAGUCCACCAGUCCAUCUGUGUGUCCAUCACAGACAUGCAAUAAAACUGGCUUGUCAGAUAUGUGCAUUUUUGUAUUAGCAUUAUUAUGAUUGUAAUAACUACUAUGUCCGCUCAAUGCAUUUCCCCUUUACAUGCAGCUCUAUCAUUUGUACACGUCAUAUUUUGGUUUACUUUACACCAAUCAGCUUUAACAUUUUGACCAUGAAAUUUUGGCGGUUGCCACGUGGGAGGUGUAAUUAUUCUGUGAAAAUGUUUAUGUGGGUGGCAAGUGUCAAAGUAACAUGCAUGAGGAUGCCAGAAUGUUUUCUCAGCACAACACUGAGCUGUAACAGGAUGAGCAGUUUCACUUGCUUUAACGGUCACUGAUUACAUAUAAAAUACACAACAAACAAUAUGU